AACGCACCUUGCGCUCCUUGGUAUUCCGAGGAGCAUGCCUGUUUGAGUGUCAUUAAUAUAUAUAUAUCAACCUUCUCUUUUUGAGUGGUUUGGAUGUGGGGGUUUGCUGGCCUUGUAAAGGGUUCAGCUCCCCUGAAAUGCAUUAGCAGAACAACCCUGUUCAUUGGUGUGAUAACUAUCUACGCUAUUGAAUGUAAGGGGGCAGUUCAGCUUUCUAACAGUCCUCGGACAAUUCAUCAUUAAUGUGACCUCAAAUCAGGUAGGACUACCCGCUGAACUUAA
rnacentral:misc_RNA from 1 species